rnacentral:rRNA from 1 species
AGUAGCUGCGAGCGAACGGGGAAGAGUCCAUAGCCGAAUCCCGUGCUUCGCGGUACGGGACAUGUGGCGUAUGGGAGUCGACACCCUUCGAGUGCGCAUCGAGGUGCAAGUCCCCAUGAGAGGGGCGUGCUACCCGGAGCGGGUGCUAGGCCCGUACCGCCUCUUUUCGCGCGCGGAGUCGUCGGCCUCCCGGGAGUCGGGUUACUUGGGAGUGUAGCCCAGAGUGGGUGGUAAACUCCACCUAAGACUAAAUACGACCGAGAGACCGAUAGCGAACAAGUACCGUGAGGGAAAGUUGAAAAGCACUUUGAAGAGAGAGUUCAAGAGUACGUGAAACCGUUCAGAGGUAAACGGGUGGGGCCUCKAAGUCCUAAGGCGGUGGSGCACUCAGGUCGGUACGGGCCCGGGCGUCUCCCGGAGCGGCUCCGACGAACGGAGGCUGCCGGGGAGGCCAUUAACGGGUCCGUUCCGUGCCGCACUUGCGCCCCCUGUCUAACGGGGCGCCGCGACCGGUCGGUAGGCCGUCGUACGGAGGGGUAACGGAAGGUAGCCGCCGCUCUCGUCGGACUCGUUCCGACGCGCGGCGGUGUUAGAGCCGACCCCUCUCCGGCGGGUCGACCGACCGUGGCAUCAUUAAUGUACCUCAACGUUCUCUCGCGAUCGAGCGGAGCGACCGAGGCGGGUUUCGAUUGGAGCGGGCCGUCACCCCGACGGUGGGCCCGCUCUGUAGAAGUCGCCCUGGACGUCGCGUUUCGCGGGGAGCGCGGGGUCGGCGGCGAGUAGGUCGGCAUCCCACCCGACCCGUCUUGAAACACGGACCAAGGAGUCCAAUUCGCGUGCGAGUUCCCGGGACUUGCUUAGGCCCGAGGGCGCAAUGAAAGUGAAGGGUCGUUGAGGCGGCCCGAGUCGGGAUCCGCCGUCCGAAUCGAGGCGGCGGCGCACCGACGGCCCGUCCGGGCCGGUUUCGGCCGGGCGGAGCUAGAGCACGCGGCUUGGGACCCGAAAGAUGGUGAACUAUGCCUGGGCAGGACGAAGCCAGAGGAAACUCUGGUGGAGGUCCGUAGCGGUUCUGACGUGCAAAUCGAUCGUCGGAUCCGGGUAUA